UAUUACUCUUCUAAGUAAAUUAUUUUAGGGUAAACAAGAAUGAUAAAAUUGAGAUGGAUGGUUUUCAGGUUGUUGGAAGAAAAAACAAAAUCAGAAGGAGAGUUAACAAAACUGUUCAGAAUUGUGACUCACAAAGUGUUGAGGAUUUCGACAUAGAAAAAUGCAAAGAGAAGAUCAACAGCUACAGGUUGGAAUUAUUACACAGUGAUUUUAGCAAAAAGUUUUUCAAUGUUCUACAAAGAACAAUUUCAAUAACAGAGGAACAUUCUUCUAUUGAAGAAAUAGUUGUGUAUGGCAUCGGAUCAAUCUCCAGCAGUAUAACUGCAAAAUACCAGUUAGCACUUGUCUUGCUUAUCAUUGAAAAACUACAGAUUAAAUGUUAUGCUUAUGAUCCGAUUUUGGUGCAAAAAGAAAUGGAUCUACUUCAAUCAUUUAAUAUCAACGUGAUCAAUAAGAAUGAGGAAUGUAAAAGGCUGGCAUGUGUUGCAACAAUGUUUUUUAUGUUGCAUUGUGGGAAGGCUAUGUAUAACAAUUUACUUUGGAGGAAUUGGAGUAAGCAGCACCUGGAAAAGGUUUAUAUAAUUGGCAAUGAUUUUUCUAGUUACGAAGAAAGACUGCCAGAAAGAGUUUUUUUGGAGACUGGAAAGUACAUCAAACAGGUUCUUCCGUACACUCUCAAAAAUAAAAUAGAGAAUUGUUUCGUUCAUGAUGACAUUUUUAAUGACACAGCACUUCAUACAUUUCCAAAGAAUCUUCUUUUGCAAGUACCAGAGAAACUGUGGUCUGAAAACUCAGAGCCGAUUCCAAUACCAGAUGAUGUUGAAAUAAUCAGAAAUACUAAAAUUCUUCAAUAGGAUUACUGUAAGGAAUGCUUGCAUUGAAUUGGCUUCACUCAAGUAUCAUUUUGGCUCAUAGAUAGACCGAGAUUAUUAUAGUAUAGACCGUGUGCGUGCAUAAAAAUCACACUCUAGAAAACUGUGUUUCUUUGAUGCUGUGAAAACACCCACAUCUUACCUGCAUUAGAGUGAAACUGAAAUGUGAGUCAGCGUUUUUACUUACUUCAAGAUCAAAGACUUGAUGGUUAUGGUUGUUUCACUGAUGGUGGUAAAACGACAAAGACUUUUGUUAUUUGACUUAGAUGUGAGCUAAAUGAUAGUUAUUAUAUAUAUUACCUUUUUACAUUUUCAUGAAAUUAAGUGAGAAAACAGAAAUGAAUAGGCAGUUUGCAUUUUUUAGCAAAUUGCAUCACACAGGAAUUGAGGAACAAUGCUUUGUUUGUUGUGAAUAUUUGUUCUGUAAGUUCCCUAUCUUAAAAAUAUUUGUUCUGUAAGUUCACCAUCUCAAGAGCCCUUUUUUUUAUCUGUAUACAAUAAUUAGAGGUGUUUCUCCUCAGCAACUUUUGCAUCUUUGACCAUCGAAUUAAAAUGCAAUAGUGAACAUUUUUUGUUUUACAAGGAUAGUGAAAAUAAAUCCCAAAAUAGUGAACAUUUUUUGUUUUACAAGGAUGGUUAAUCUUGUUCAUGUUUUUCCUGAGGUUUAUUAAACUUAACUUACACUUCUUUCUUUGUUCUGAUUGUGGUUCUACAAUCUUUAACAUUAUAUAUAGGUCUUUAGAAGCACAGUAAUUGUUUGUUUCCUCAAAAGUGCAUGGCAAUUAUCUUGUCGAAUUUUUUCCUUUUAUAUGAAAGUCCGAAACUCUUCUGAAUUCUUGCAACAUCUAAAUGUAUAGCAUUUCAAUAUGCAAAAAUUUAAUGGGAAUAUUUUAGAUGUCUGAAAUUAAAUUCACUAAAAAUAAAAAGCCCACUUGACCUCCCUCUGUCAAUAAUGGAUACAUAUCUAAGAUAUCUAACAACUUCAUAAAAGUUGUAUAACAAAAGCUUUUCUUUGCUCAGGAAACUUUUUAUUGCCAAAUUAUUAAUGUCAUUGUUGGGCCUACCAAUGGUAAGACCUUUUUUUUGUUUCAAUUUGGAAAUGUGGAUUCAGGAAGAAAAUUUGCCACACUCCAAACAUCGUUCUUCCAUUAGUAUUGUUUGUUUUACUAAAAUAAUUUACAAUAUCCAGGACACAGACCAAGAUACACUAAUUAAAGAAAACAUCAACUUCAAAAUGUCAAGAUGAAAAACUAUUGUUUCUUGAAACUCAAAAUAUGAAGCUUUGUCUCUUCAAGUAUAUGCUAUAAGGAAUAAUAAAAUUUAAUACAAAUAAUAUUUAGUAAAAAAUUUAUUUAAAAAAAAGAAUAUACAAGGACAUUCUGGCUUGAUUGACACAUAAUAUCCUUUGCAUAUCUUUCAAUUAUUCAGUGUAAUAAAAUUUGGCACGGCAAACUAUAAUUACCAAGGCGGAUGGGAAAAUAAUGGGAAUUUCCAGAAGACUAAAAGGAGGGAUAAUGUUAACAAGACUUGAGUCAUUUAAAACAAUAUUUUUGUUCAUGUUCAAGGUCUACUCUGAAUCAGAAAAUACAACAACACUGCUGUCAUCAUCUUCACUGUUGCUGUCUUCGUUAUCUGACGACGAAAUCGUGGUUACGUCAAACGAGCUAGAGCAGGGCUUCUUAUGUGGUGGUUCCCAUGUUAUGCAUUUCUUUUUGCGCCGCUUUUCGAGAUAUUUUAUUACAGCCAUUUAUGUAAUCUCCUCUCUUUCUUUUUCUGUCCAAAUCUUGUUAUUUAAAUUGAUGCACAAAAGAUUUUCCAUGGUGAUGUGGCUCAUACUUAACCUCCUAUCGGAUAAAAGAAGUGUGAGUAGGCUAAAUGCUCUCUCCACCGUAGAGUUUGACGCUGAAAGGCACAAAACUAACUCAGCCAACAUGCACAAGUUUGGAAACUCAGUACGUUUGAAGGCUAGCACUGUUUUCCAAACACUUAAUGGCUCUUCCCCAGAAUGGUUGGCUUUUACAAAGCUUAAAGAACGCCAUUCACGAAUAGCCACAACUUCAUCAUACCCAACUAAAUCCAACGGCUGCUUAAAAUGUAAAUACAUUUCUUUUAUAUUAUCAAACCCAAAAGAUUUAUCGUCGGUAGGCCACCUCCUACAAUCAAACCAUAUCAUCGACUUUAAAACUGGCUCCUGAAAAUCGGCGAAUUUCGCUUCCAGUAAUUCUUUUAACAAAUUGCAGACAUCUUUUUUCUUUCCAAUGGCGGAAUUUACGGAAUCUUUGUUGAGAUAUGUAAAAUUUUGCAAUUCGAUGUUGAUGCGUUGCUUGUUGGCAUUUUCCUUGUGACUGUCGUCACCCUUGUAAAAGUCUUACGCGAACGAUAAAUCGCACGCGUAAAUGUUUUGGCGUGUGCGCGUGCGAUCGCACGCGUCUCCUGACCGGGCCUGCAUCAUAUAAAAAAAUACAGGUGUGUGGUGCGUCGCGCUCCUAAAAAAUGUUUUCAGAGAUUUAUCACUCGCCUGAGUACAUUAGGCGCGCAAUGACGAGUGAUUACGAAUAGGCCUCUAAAUGUACGCGAUCAUGUAACGUAACAUGGAAAGGUUUUGCCUGAAAAAAACAAGCCAUCGAAAUGCUGUCGCGCAGAAGUUUGUUUUAAUAGGUUUGGAACAGAUCCUUUACUCAUCAAGUUCUGGGCGCUUAGAAAGUUCUAAACUUUCUCAACCUUGUUCCAUAACGCCACCAGCGAUAUGCCUGUAGUAGGAACUUAGCGUGACCACUUCGAACUUGAAUGAAAAAGUAUCCUAGGGGUUCUGACUGACUUUCCUUUCGUGUCUAUCCCCAUUUCCCAACAACGAAAAGUUUGGUAAGAGUACCACUAGUUUCAGUCAGACUAUUGCCACUGUGAUGUUAAAGGAGUUGAAUUAGUUUUAAUUUGUGUAUCUGAAUCUUCCGAGUUGUUUAAACUACAUGCAAACUUGUGGCAACUACCAUCAAUAUGGUGAAAAAUCUAUAAGACGAAAACAUGUCUAAACUUAUUUAAAAUCGUGUACAAUAAUUAUGACGCAAAGAGCUGCUAGGAAAUCUUUUUAGAGCAAGAUAUAAUAAAAUGUAAGAAAAAAAACAUUAUCGAGUUCGAUCGUGUAUAUAAAAUAAUGCGAAAGGCCACACGUUAGAACAUUAUAUGCAAAAAAUAAGAAUUAAUCAUACCAAUAAAAAAAUAAUGCAUACCUGAUAUUUCGUCACAAAACUUGUUCCUUGGUUAUAUGCAUCGAUUGCAGUUUUUGCUGUCCCUUUUAUCGUAGAACAAUUUUGUAUCUCCUUUUUAAUUUUGGCACAGAUCUUACACCACACAAAAUUAACAACCUUUGUGCCGUCUUUUUCAAAUUUUUUAUAGCCAAUUACAUCUGAUAUGUUAUAAUUUGAAAAGGUUUUUAAGGCCAAACAAUUUCCCUUCACAGUUGCCAUCUUUCCACGCUAUUCACAAUUCUGUACUCUAAAGAAAUUUAUUUCUGCUUCUUAUUCUUUUGAAAGAAGUUUUAUCGUUUUUACCUUUUUAUUCAAAAAAAUGAUCAAUGGGUUUUACCUGUUCAUUCAAAAAGUGAUCAAUGAGCUUUUUCUUCUUUAAUAUUCUAGACAUCGCAUGACCUUAUUUAAAAGAAAAAUUUUGCAGUCUCGCAUUUUUUAUUUCUUUCUGUAAUGUGAUUUUUAAGAAUUAUUACUCGCUACAGUUUUAUUUAGGAGCGGGAUUGUUCACGCACUUAAGAAACGAAUUGAUAUUUUAGGCGAGUUAUUUUUCACUCGUCUAACACAUUUUAGGAGCGUGCCAAGGUGCGUGCGUGAUUGCGCACCUAAUAUGACGCAGCCUGAGAUUCAAUGAGCCAAUAGAAUGAAAUUUCACUGGAAGCAACCACCUCUAAAUUUGCAUGAACAAGAAAAAAAUUUUAGGGUAUAUAUAGGUAUCAAAACAUUUCAUGUUUUAAGUCAAAUUCAAACACAUUUUUCCUGUUUUUGUUGUUAUUUAAAAAUUGUCUUAGUUUAAGCAGGGUCCGAAAUAAAAAUUUAUAAGUGAUUCGUGAAAAAUAGCGCGCCGCAGGCGAAAAUUUUUUAGAAAUCACGAGUCGUUCUUACGGUUACGAUUCGCUAUUUUCUGUUUUUGCACACGUUACUUUUAGAAUAGACAAGUGGGGGACGUUUUAAAUCGUGAACCCCAAACACGAUAGCUUUUAGCGACAACGUAAUGUGACACUAUCAGCCUUAACUUUCUUGUCUACAGCCAAAUUUUGAUUUACAAUUGUGCAAUAUAAAUACCUCAAGAAUGAUUUGUUUUGAUACGAAAAAUUAUAACGAACAGUUACGUUUUUUAUUUUAAUGUUUUUAAAUAAAUGUACAAAAUGAUUUCAUGCUUCAUCUUCAUCAGAGUCGAUAUCAGAGAGUGCAAGUGAGGCUAAGUCAUCAACCUGCACUCUAUCGCUUGUUGUAGUUGUAGAUUUUCUCUUUUUAGGAUACUUGUGCGACGAUGAUCCAAGUUGUCGCACUUUUUCCGUAUACCAAUGAUCAAUGACUGGAUCAGGGUCAAAAUUACAAAUAUCUGGACCAUCCUCAUUUAUUCGCAAACAAGCGUCGAGCAUGUCCCUGCUGAGAUGGCUUCGAAAAUCACUUUUCACCCUCGCCAUCCUGGAGAAGCCUCGCUCCACUUUGGCAUUCGUGAAUGGGGUACAAAGCAAUAUUUCAAUGAUGUGAAGGAUGUUUUCACAAUCCUUACGAAUGUGUUCGUUUGUGAAAACCCUCUUCCAUACUUUCAAGUAGUACUCUCGAGGAUUAUUAAUCACAAUAGGGAUGAUGUGAGAUUGUAAAGAGAUCCAUUCUUUUUUUACUUCGCCUACGUUACAUCCGUUGUUUUCCAACAGCUUUUCGAAAUCCAAAAGAAUUUCAUCAAUGCGAUCUUCCCCGAAAGUAGGAGUGACAGUAGUUGGCCAUGUUGAAACAUCAAGUAAACAGACGAUAUUUUUGAAGAUGGUCGAUGUUGACAAAUUUUUGAACCUCUCUUCCAUGCUGUCAGCGAGACGAACGAUAAGAUCAUGAUAUUUCGUCUCAGCGCUGCUGUUUACUAUAUCGUAUCGGAAAAGCUUAAUGUUUUGGUACGUUGCACUUCCAUCUUCGUCAUUAAUAACCUCAUCUGUGAAGCGCUUGUGAUGUGUCAUUAUAUCACUACUUCCGUCCAGGGUAUCUAAUAAAAUUAUUUUCAAUUUGGCCAUGGUCGCAGUAAAUUCCUGGAUACGCCGAACUUGUUUGACAGGAUCGUGCUCGUCAGACUGCAUGCUCAAAGACAAACGACGUAUCGAGGAUAGUAUAUCUAAGUAAAUAGCCAUAUUGAAUGGAAUGGCAGCCUCUUUCCAUUUUUUCAAAAAACCUUUGAGCUCAGCACGUUUUUUAGGCUGUGAAUCUGUGAUAGCUAAUUCCUCUACGUGGGUCAUAUACACACCGUAGUUUUGAAGAGCACAUACCAUCGCUUUGAACUUAUGGUCUAUCCAACGAGUACCGCAUGCUUUAGCAGGCUUCGGAAUUGUUUCAUCGAAUGCUUCAGAGAAGUUUCUGAGUCCCUGAAGCCUUUUGGGACUUUUCUGAUAUAAGUAAUAAAGCUUCAGUAGAAGCUCGUCGACAUCGUGAAAUGCUUUGACAGUGUUAAACGCAUCCUUGAUAGCAAGUUCAAUGCGAUGAUUGAAACAAUGCACAACCUCGACCCAGGGCGCAGUUUCCUUGAUUAAUGCUCCAACUCCUUAAAAAAGAAACAUGAUUGAAACUAAUUAUCAACUGGUUAUUAUUUAGUUAAUAAUACCCCUUUCCGGGACGUUUCAGCAGUCAAAACAACAUAUAAGCUAUCAAAGAACCUGGGCCCUAAGUUGAGUGGUGUAGCGAACACUGAUAAUGAUUAAGUGGCCGCCAGAUCAAUCUCGAACAGGUGAAAAAUUCUUGAACAUUUAAAAACAUUAAACAACAUUCCAAAGCUCUUCCCCGUGGAGUAUAUUCUUUAUUAUGUAGUAACAGAAUAUUUUCGACAUGUUUAAAAAACAACAACAAAAUGUUAAAACAAAAACAUAUUCAUACGAAAAUAUUCAUGAGAGAUUUGAGCUGAACAUUUAUUUAUUGAACAUUGAUGAGUAACAUUGUACAGUGGAAGUAGUGACUGCACUGAGUUAAACGAACAGUGGUUAUUGUGGUUGUGGUUGAAACAUUGAUUGAUUGUUUGGAGUAUUGGUCUUUUAGAUUUAUUAUUAUACACUGGUAGAUUGGGAGUCAGGGAAGCGAUGAUGGUGUUAAGAACGAGGUUAGAAAUGUGGGAUAUAGGAAGAAAUCUUGGAGGAGUAGAAAGGAGGUGCAAAGGAUGUAAAGCGACAGAGGAAACAACUGAACACGUGCUGGAAUGCGAGGAAGUGGAGAAAGUAGUAGGAAGAAAA